CUCCUGCGUCCCUUCCGCCUCCUCCCGUCUCUUCCUCCCCCCCUCCCCGGGGCGCCAUGUCGGUGUUCCACGAUGAGGUGGAGAUCGAGGACUUCGAGUACGAUGAAGAGACCGAGACCUACAGCUACCCGUGCCCCUGCGGGGACCGCUUCCUCAUCACGCGGGAGGACCUGGAGAACGGCGAGGACGUGGCCACCUGCCCUAGCUGCUCCCUUAUCCUGCGCGUCAUUUACGACCAGGAACAGUUCAUGCGUGAUGAAGUCGUUGCAGAACCUUUGACAAACAAGGAGUUGAUUAAAUGCUGAUGAAUGCAUCCUGAACCGUUGCUGCUUUAGAAUAAGAAAGUAAGGACAUGGCAACUGUGGAAAGAGACAUGGUCCUCUUCCUGGAAGUGCUCGCUACUGUGAGAUACAGGUCCUUGACUCUGCACAGAGGAGGCCAGUGUGAUGAAAACAGCAUCGUGUGAACAUUAAUGGAGGAAGUUGUAUUCACUAGAGAUUACAGAGGCUGGAACAAGAUCAACUUCAGAUAUUCAUGCUCUGAAAUUGCUAACACUGUUAACACUGUUAAACACCACUAAACUCCCAUAUAAUAUUGAAAACAAGCAAUACGCUGUCUAGCCACAAUUUUAUGGGAGAAAUAAAGAUAAUUUGUUCUUCAUUAAACUAAAAAGGCUUAGCUUCUCCAAGUAGUCAGAUUCUUGUUUGCAUCUCAAAGAAACUUGCUGAGAAGGUCAUGUACUUUUCACUCCUUGUGCCUGUACGUCAGUGGCGUACGCGAUUAGUUUUUAAUAGUUGCUCCAGAAGUCCAUGACAGCGACCUUGGACCUCCAAGAGCUGAGGUCAUGAGGCCACCAAUUUAAGCUGUUGCACUUGUUCCAUUUGUCUUUGUGUCAGGGAAGUUGUAACGUCCUGAAGGACACUUACGUUAACACCUUGGCAUUUCUUCCCUCCAUCACAAUUUUUAACUUUGGUUCUCCACACCAGUCAAAAAAAUUACCUCCUUUGCAGAACAUCAGUUAAAUAAAGAACAUUACCUAGAUUACCAGGUCCAUCUACCAAGAAGCAAAUGCUGAUUAGUUUCAAAUAAACCUUCAAAAUUUCAGUUAAGUGCACUGACAGCUGUGUGUUGUCACUAAGAAAAACAGUUGCUAUGUAUGCUGUUUCCAUGCCUAUUACAGUUUAAAGUUCAGGCUAACUGUAGUGGUAGGUGUUUAUUAACAUUGAAAAAUGGAAGCUGUGCCAAGCUGGAAAACUGCUGUCACAAUGGCACCGGCUGUCAUGGAGGAAGUGGGUCAAAAGGGACUAACCAAGAGGGUAAAGGCUUAAGCAACCUGUCAUCACUCCUUCUUCCACCCCUUGCUGUCACUGUUUCGAUCUGUUUGCGUAUCAGGUGGUCACCUCUCCAAAGUUCUUGGCAGCUCACCAGUCCAGCACAGGCUUCCUGUCAGGUCAUGGAAAACCAGUGCCGUGCUGUUUGCCCUGCUGCUGAGCGCAGCCAGCCAAGAGGAGCUUGCUCCCAAGGCCAGGUGAUGCACGAAGGUCACCAUCAGAGCUGCCCCAUCCGGCAGCGCCAUCAUCCAGCCGGACAGGCGAUCACCAUGGCUACUGUAAGAAUUAUAUCUCUAAAACAACAUAAGUGAACAACAAAUGGGUAUUUUCUGCAUUAGGUUAUGUGCUGCAACAUGCAAUUCUAGCCCUUUAACCAGGUCAAGCAGAAAGUGGGGCUCUCAGAGAGUUCUUUAGAGCUCUACCUGUGUGGAGAUUUUUUUUUUUUGAGCCAAAAGAUCAAUCAUGGUGUCCACCAACCUCAGGCAGGAACAGCCCCGUGAGCCCUCGCGUUUUGCUUUCAAUGUCCGCCCUCGUUCUUCGUGUUCUUUGUCUUUCCUCUCCUCCAUAGAGAAGGAAGGAGCUCUGCCAGCAGGUGGUGAUCUAAGGGAAUAAUUCAAAAUACGUGUGAUACUGGUGUUGGCAGCUGUGUAAUUGAGAAGUAAACUUUUGCAAGCCCCAAAUAAGGGGUCAUCGUUGUGGAGUGUUUCCAAAGGAAGCAACUAGACUCACUUGUGAGUAUUAUGAUCUUAUGCCUGCUCUCUUCCUUCUAGUGGAAAAGUAAUUUAAUUUGCAUUCAUGAAGUAGUAAUUAAUUCAUGAAUAUUUGCCCCACAUAUAUAUUGUUAAAUAAGGUCUUUUUUUUUUUCUCUUUUCCAUAUUUUCAGUUGUUUUCUGAUGAAUACAGUGUAAUUUUCAGUGUCCCA